UGACCUGCGGAAGGAUCAUUAAAAAGGAUGCCGAGUAAUCGGUAUACCCCACCCGUGUCUAUAUACUCUUGUUGCUUUGGCAGGCCGUGGCCUCCACCGUGGGCUCUGCCUGCGUGUGCCUGCCAGAGGACCAAACUCUGAAUUUUAGUGAUGUCUGAGUACUAUAUAAUAGUUAAAACUUUCAACAACGGAUCUCUUGGUUCUGGCAUCGAUGAAGAACGCAGCGAAAUGCGAUAAGUAAUGUGAAUUGCAGAAUUCAGUGAAUCAUCGAAUCUUUGAACGCACAUUGCGCCCGGUGGUAUUCCGCCGGGCAUGCCUGUUCGAGCGUCAUUAUAACCACUCAAGCCUGGCUUGGUAUUGGAGUUCGCGGUUACGCGGCCCCUAAACUCAGUGGCGGUGCCGGUGGGCUCUAAGCGUAGUAAAUCUCCUCGCUAUAGGGUCCCUCCGGUUACCUGCCAGAACCCCCAAUUUUUUAAGGUUGACCUCGGAUCAGGUAGGGAUACCCGCUGAACUUAAGCAUAUCAAUAAGCGGAGGAAAAGAAACCAACAGGGAUUACCUCAGUAACGGCGAGUGAAGCGGUAACAGCUCAAAUUUGAAAGCUGCCAACAGGCCGCAUUGUAAUUUGUAGAAGAUGCUUUGGGGGUAGGUCUAGUCUAAGUUCCUUGGAACAGGACGUCAUAGAGGGUGAGAAUCCCGUAUGUGAUUAGUGCCUUCCUCCGUGUAAAGCUCUUUCGACGAGUCGAGUUGUUUGGGAAUGCAGCUCAAAAUGGGUGGUAUAUUU
rnacentral:rRNA from 1 species